GCUGUCAAUGGGAACAUUUCCAAUGAGACCUGUGAAAAACAGUUCCUCGGUGAUGCUAGAGCUCAUCAGCCUAAGUGCUGGCAGGCGAACUAGGAUCCGGGCUAGCCUGAAAAAGAAGUUCAGUGGAUUAUAAAUACAUUUGCUCAGAAAUAAUCAGAUUUGUUCUGUAAACUUGUCUAUGGGUGAGCAUGGAGAUGGAGACACUAUUUACUUAAAAUACAAGACACUGCUUGGGGAAUGCAACUCUGAUUUUCUUCUCUGAGACACUAUUAUGAGAAGUAAGUAUAUGGAACAAAUUUUAUAUUUAGUUUUAUGGUAGAUAUUCAGCUCUCACUAAUCAAACCAGAAGGCCUCAAUUGUACAUGGAAGAAUGUGGGAUCUGAGGAUAUUUCUGAGGCAGAGAAUCCUAUUUUCAUGGCACCACAGUGUUAAUUCUGUAAGAUCAGUGCAGAAAACAGAGAUGGGAGAAACUCUCUUUUUCAGACAGUUUUUUUUUCUCCUUUUUAGUUAUUCUACCCCCAGACAGUGCUUAAGUGUUUGGGAUUUCUUCUUUACAUGAGGAUGCCUUUCACAGUAAAAAAGAACAUGUUCUAGUAUAUCUUGCAGACAGAGGUAAGAAGUUCCCUGAUAGUGCAGAAAAUAAUUUUGUUGAUGAAUUUUACAUUUUAAUGGAGAUUGUUAGAAAAUACAGUAAUUGUUUCUAGCACAUAACAAACAGAAUAGUUGAGAAGUGAAAAGAGCAAGCUAGAUAAUUUCAGAGAAGUCCUUAGAAAUUACCAAAACAAACCAAACAAACCCAGAGGAGAAAAUAACUAGGAUGUGGGAAUUUCUUACAAACAGAAGUUUGAGCAGUGGUUAUUGUUCCUUGUUAUAUGUAAUCGUUGUUUUUCCAAGGGCUAUAACUGACAGUUCUAACAUUUUUCUGCAUAUGCAACUUGAAAAACAUUUCAAGGAUAAUCAUCUUUUAGUUGUCAGAGAGACUUUAAAAUAAUAACUUGAAAAAAGAAGCAGUGUGAAUUAGUCAGUUGAAGCAGUUGUCCCCCAAACUUCUAAAAAAAUAAGUAAGUAAAUCUGUUUACUUUUCUAAACACAACUAUGAGAGUCUCAAAAACCCACUCAAAAACCAAGAAAGUACUAAUAAAUUCAAUUUACAUGGAGGAAGUUAGACAGCUAUUCUUAUUUCUACAUAUUUUUAAACAAACCUGCUUGCUUUUACAAAUUAGGUUUUAGUUCUUUCUCAUCCACAGUCAGAAAAAAACCCAAACCCCAGAUGUCAAAAACAUUAAUUACAUUAUUUUGUAGUUCUGUUAGUUACAGCCCACAACAUUACUUUGGGUACUUUAGACAAUAAAUACCUAUAAGUGUCUUCUGGAUAGGUUUUUUGUACAUAGUCCUGCAAUUCCAUCUGUGCCUUCUCCUGGAAUUUUUCUAUUUGGGUUGAACUGGUCAGACCAGGGUGAUCUAAAGAAACAAAACAUUUCUGUAUGUCGAUUGUUUCCCUAUACAUUGUGAAAUAGAUGUAUUUAUAAGACUCUCACAUUUAAUUUCAAUGAAAUAUUUCUCUGGUAUUGUGAUGUUUAACAUGCUAGCUGUAUAAAGGUAAGCAUUUACUUCCUGGCUUCAGAAUUAGUUUGUUCACUUUUCUCUCUAGAGCUGUGUGGGUCCAUAAGAAAGUGGACAAAGAUUAAGCCUGUAUGUGUGUACCAGGCAAUGACACAGAAUUUGUUUUUAACUUUGCCUGUUUAAAUGUAAACAUGUUUGCCUCUGUUAUUUUUUCUAACCAGGCUGGCUAAGCAGUAUCUAAGGUUAUUUUUUUGAUAGAUCAGUGUCUUAAUCUUCUUUAGUCUGUCUCAUGUUUUAAUUCCAGCUGCCUCAGCUCCUCAGACAGGCACAUGAUCAGAGCAAAAAAAAGCAAACCCACAAAAUAUCACCUCUCUUUGUAUGCCAAAAUACCUUCACUCUUGUGUCCAAACUGCUUGUCCCUUGAAAUAAGAAAGGCUACCUUGAGCUUGGGUAGUGUGUCUUGCUUUUCCAACUCAAAUAAAACCCCUAAUAAACCUAACUCUAAUGGGACAAUCUCCCCAGAAAAAUUCAAAAGAACAUUUCAGGACACCACAAUCUUCUAAUUAAGUUUUAUUACAAAGAGAAAAAUAGUUAUCAAUGCAAAAAACCCCCAAGCAAACACACCAAUAACAAUAUAUCCUUUUACUUUGUAUUCUAUUAAAUACAAAGUGGUAAAUACCUUCAAAUUAAAAUAAAUAAUAUGCAUUUCAGAGCAAAACUUUCCCUUUUACUCAGCCUGUCAGCAGUUGUAGAUUAACCUUUGUGUGUCCUAGAAACAUUUGCCAUCUCUGCCGAAAAGACUGCCACUUCCAGUUUCUUUAAUGUCCUUACCUAAUCAUUCCUGAAAAUUUCAAGUAUCUUCUUUGAGUAAAUUUCCGUAUUUCAGAAACACUUGAUUCUGCUUUAGCUAUCUGCUGUCAUUUUUUCAAAACAAAUGGAAGACAGCCUGUUUUCAUUCAGUCUUUGAGAUUUUGAGGAAGUUUCAUAUAAAAUAGGUAUUUCUGCUCAUAUUUCAGCUAUUCCUCUUAAAAGUAUAUAAAAAAUACUAAAACUGAAGCAAAUUUCUUUUUGUCACUCAGAGAAUGCAUUUCUUCUAAUCCUUCUCACCAUUUACCUCACUAAUAUUGCUAGUACACAUUCCAGAUACCUUCAGCUGAGAAUCUAUGAGUAAUACUUGAGAAUCUAAUCUUCUAGGAUGGAUGUACAGGAAACACCUCAUAGAUUGGAACUGUAAAUAACAUGGAUAUGUUGCCCUGAAGUUAUUUUAAAACAUAUUGUGAUGAACAUUAUGAAACAGUAAUUUUAUCUGCAACUAAACAGAUGAGUCUCAUCUCAAGAUACUAGUUUCAUUUAAAAAUGUAAAGAAUUGACAUAUUAAGGAUUAUUAUUUAAAAAGAUAUGGUUAAUAAAUUCCUUACCAGGGCUAAAAAGGACUAUAGCUUUAAGGUAUGCAUAUUCAUAUCCAUCAAUAUCAAGCUUGGCCAUGCUGUUACAGAACUCCUGAAGUUUCCAGAUGUGUUCCAUGACUUGCUUUAUUCUGUCGCCAGAAAGUUUAUCUACAAAAAGAUAUUGCUUACUAUUUCAUCUGAGCUCAAGUAUUUCUAAUAUAUUAACAAAGUUUUAUAAACCAAGUCAAGUGAUAUUUGCAAGUCUUUUGCUGUCUUAGAACCACUUAACAUGUAAGGGUGGCCUGAAUUAUUAUGAAAGCAAAGUGAAUUUAUAAAGUUAAGUCAGACCCAGAGCUAACAAACAGAAUGUUAAGAACAUUCUAGGAACAGAAUGUUAUCCUGUUGCCAGGAUAGCAUAAUCUGCCACACCAAACUUUUUCCAGUGAUAUACUGUUCUGAACAGAGAUUCUGAAAUUAUGGUGCAUUCUUCUACAAAUGGCUAGAGUGAUUCUGGGAAUGAACAGAAGCACAAAGGAAGUGCUAACAUGCAACCCUAAUUUUAAAUUCAAACAUUAUUGAAUCAGCCUUUCCAAAAGUGAACGCAAGAACAGUAAUGACAGAGCUAUUUUCUCCUCUAUCUACACUUUCUGGAGUGAACUUUUCAUUAGCUAUGGUAAAUAGUCUUUUUCGUGUCUGAUAGGGUAAAUUCACUGAAAUGCACAUACACAGAUUCUUCUAUAAUUUGAAAGAUCACAUUCCUUAUAUUGGGUUCAUAAGCUAUCUUAAAAUUUCAAUUUAAAAUUUUAUUUUAUUUAUAGAUCUGUUACAAGUGAGUGGUAUUAGCUGCUAAACUAGGAAGGGAGAGAUUUCUGGUUUGGUAAAUAGAAAUCCUUAUAUUGGACUGCCUAUCUACAAACUAGUCAAGGAAUAAAAACAUUAGAUAAUACAUGAAGACAAACUUUUGAAUAUAUAAUUGCUAUUAUCAAACUUCAGAAGUAAGUCAGUUUACAAGGGAUAAAACCUUUCCUUGAAAAACACAUUAGAAUUUUAUUCCUGCCAUAAUCUCCAAUGCUAGUAUUUAAUAUAAUUUGAAUAUUUUAUUUUUCUCUAUACAGCUAAUAGUACAUAGCAAGAUUGCUUAGACCCCAUGUAGCUUAAACAGAAUCUUUGACAUAGUUUAUUACUAUUUGAUCUAUUUUCUGAAACUGCAAUAAGAAGAUUCAAUGAAUGGAAGAACCAUUUUUUGCAGAGUCUUGAAAUAAGAAUGAAAGCAUAAUCUACAUUUCUUAAAACAUUGUGUGUAAUUUUUAGUUACUGAAGAUGGAUGAAGAUAGACAUAAUGUAAUGAUUUUAUUCCUGUAUUAAGUGGGAAAAUAUGGCCCAGAAAAACUCAGGCAAAGCAAACUAGAAUUCCAGAGUCUCUACGUAGCUCCAUCACUAAUAAAUAAAUGAAGUUCUGAAAUUUCUUCACUUUGUUUUGAAUUUUGAAGGUAUAAUACGCAAUAUAACAUGAUAACUUUGCAGAAUAGAUAAAUAACACUAAUGAUCCGCUUUUAUUGGCUGGUCUCAGCUAACACAGUAUGAGUGCAAGUACAGGUUAUAGAAAAAAUAUUUUUACAAUAUUGAUGCAUAAGAACAGAAGUGGAAACAGCUGCAAUAGCCCUGCCACUUACUCCUCUCCACUGCUUGGAACGAAGCUCUUUGUAUUCUGAAAUAGAUAUAAAGCCUAACUUUGCAUAGAACAUCCAAUAUGCAGGUUUUCCUAUUGAUCUUUUCAAAUUUUGCCCCUCUGUGCAGGAUAGGAGCAGCACUCUGUUGUAUUUUGGGACUGUCCAGGCUCUCUUGAGAAAAUGAGAAAACAAACCAAAACAAAAAAAAAAACCCAACCAACAAAAAAAAAACCCAAAACCAAAACAAGAAAAAACUCUAUAUUCAUUAUAUAGAGUAAGUAGUAAAGCAUACUGUCCAUUAAAGAAUCAAAUUUCAGUUUAAUUUACUUUAUCAUGAUGAAGCUAAUAAAGUAGAUUAAAACUUGAUUGUAGAACUAUAAAAUAGAUAAAGAAGAUAGCUGGAAAAAUAUUUAAUAUCCUUCAGCUGUAGAAAAAUACAUCUGUUUUACUCUCCUCAGUAAAAACCUAUUUUCAGAUUUUUGCUGUGUGCACAAUAAUGAUACUAUACAAAAGUUAUUAAAAAAUGGUACCAUAAAAAAUUGGUACCAAAUAGUAUUCUGUAAGUGCUUUUAAUGAACAUGUAGAUUUAAAGUAGUUUUCAUUUUUUAUGCUGUGUUUGCAGAGUUUAAAACUGCUAGUAUUGUUUUCUUCCUCCUUUUAAAAAUGAAUAUUAUUUUCAUGCUAAUCAAUCCUAUUGAUUGGAAGGGUCUUGAAAGAAUAAAAAAAGUAAAUAUAACAGAUUUUCAUCCAUUCUAGAUAUAAUCAUCAUUGUCAACAGACCAACAUUGAAUUAAAAAAUAAAAUCACAUACAUCUUGUUAAGAAUGUCAAGAAAUUAGGUUGCUUAAUGCUUCAAGAGCACUUCAAAAUACAUUAAUCAUUAUUGCAUUACAGUAUUAUCCAAAACCAUUGUACAUACAAGAAUAUGCUUGUUGUGAUAAUUGGCAAAUGCUGUGUUUUUACACCACAAAGAGGAGAAGGAAAGUUCUAGAAGGAAAAAGUCUGGUGUGGUUUGAAAGAGGAUCUAAUUUUUCUAAGAGGAAAAAACAUACAUCUGGAUGGGAAGAAAACUCUGAGCACAUCCAAGGAGUAGUUUAGGAUGUACUGUCUUUCCAGUCAUGCAUAGAAGAGCCCCUUGCCUCUAUGAACACUUCUGUCCCACAGACAUCUCUGUGAGGAGAGUGCAACAAAACUGUAGAUCUCCAGGGGAAAGAUAAUUAUGCAAGAGAAAGCUUCACCUUCUCCUGGUUCCUGGUAAACAAUUCUGCUACUGAUGGGGAAACACCUUGUGAGCAAUGUUAUCCAAACAUCCCUGUAUUGUUAGCAGUACUGGUAACAUACCUUCUUGUAUGCUGUUCUGGAGGUGGUUGACAAUCGCUCCCAGGAUAGUUGACAGGUUCAUCACCUGUGCACACUGUGCCAGCCCUAAGGUAAACAGUUCGUUCCAACAGGCACGCACAAGGCUCGUAUUACAGUCCUGCCUAUAAACAGCAGAAAAUCAAACAAUGCUAGGUAGUUUGCAUAUCAGCUUGGUAUUGCCCUAUGUAUAAUUAUGUUAUGUAUAGCAAUUCAUAAUAAGGAUUAAUCUAUUGCAAAACUUUUUGGUAACAGGCAUAUAUUAGCAAAUUACAAGUACUUCAAGAAGCAGAAAGAAAUUAUAGACUAUGGGAAAUCAUUUCAGGUUAUCUGUGAAAUGGUGCUUGUCAAUUCUUUAGCAAGAUAUCAAAAGCAAGCAUUUAAUUUCUACAAAUUAAUGCUUGUUUUUGAUUUGGCUUUAGUUUCUGUAACCACAGUAACAUCGAAUAUUGUAAUUACCCUCCCCUCUGCCUCUUCUGUUUUAUUCUUCAAAACAGGGAAUGUUGCAUAGUCUUCCCACAUUUUAAAUUAUUAAUUAAAAAUUAAACAAUAUUGUAAAUAAAAAAGUUCAAAAUAGCUGGGAAAUGUUCAGAUCAGUGCUUAAAUUCAUUCAAAAGCAAACCAUUCAAAUGGAGUAUGUCCAUUUACCCAAGAGCUUGAAAUGCAGGUAUGGACCUAGCCCAGUGCAUAGAGAGGAAAAGGAGUCGUGAUGCUGACUCACAGAUGUAGUGUACAUUAAGGUACUCUGGCAUCGGACUGGGCAUUGUGAGCUGCAAAAUAUAAAAGUACAAUACAACACAUAUAGUUCAGACACAAACCAGUUUUUAUCAUCAUGAAAUAACUAGCAAAAACAUUCAAACUACUCUCAUAGUCCAUCACAAUCAACAGUGCGACAAGAAGUUGUCAAAGGAAAAUUGUACUAAAUAACUCAUUACUACUGGCAAGGAAUGCAAAUUGGGAAUACAAGACAAGAAAUUAUGUAGGAGCUCAUACAUAUUAAGCAUUAGGUUUUUUUAAUAUGACAUUUAAAGAAGCACAUACCUUAAAUGUGACAUGUGUAUCUGUAAGUAGGGGUCCUUCCACUUCAAUAAUUGGUGUUGACUGAUCUCUACUGAUUACAUGAAUAUUCCCUCCUCCUGUAGGAUCCAUCCCAUCUGCCAAGUUAUGAGCUGUUGUACCAUCUAUAGUAUUAAGUGCCUUAGCCAAGGUAUCAAAUGCCCUAAAAAAUAAAAAAUUAGUAAACAAUUAAAGAGUGCUUCCUUAGAUGUUAAAAAUUUCAUAGUACUCAAAUUAAAUGCUGUAAAAUAUUUCCACUUAGAGGCAACAUACGCAAGAAUUCUUUAGGAUGACACAAGGUCAGACUUUUCAUUACAAUUUGGUCCCUCUUGUACUCUUUGGGCAUUAGUAAAACAAAUAUAUGUGCCCAUCUAUUACUGGUAAAAGAGCUCCCUGUAAGGGAAGGAGUUCAUACUGUAAAUCCUGCUGAUAGAUUUAUCCUAGUAUUUGUACUAGUAAAGGGGCCUUGUGCUGUGCUGGUUGUGGCUGGGAUAGGGUUAAUUUCUUCACUUAAAGAAGGUAGUAUGGGUCUACAUUUUGGAUUUGUACUGAAAACAACGUUGAUAAUGUGGAGAUGUUUUUGUUAUGCACAGCAGUGCUUGCACAGUGUAAAGACCUUUUCUGCUUCUUCUCCUCCCUUCAGUGAGGAAGCUGGACGUGCGUAAGAAGUUUGGAGGUGACACAUCCAGGACAGCUGACCCCAGCUGAUACAAGGAUUAUUCCAUACUUUGUGAUGUCAUGCAUAUAAAGGGGUGAGAAAGAGGAAGUGGGGGGAUCUUUGGAGCGAUAGCAUUUGUCUUUGGAAGUAACUGUUACACAUAGUGGAGCCCUGCUGUCCUGGAGGUGGCUGAACACCUGAGUACCCAUGGAAGGUAGUGAAUUAAUUCCUUUGCUUGUGUGUGUGGCUUUUGCGUCACCUAUUAAACUGUCUUUAUCUCAAGCCAUGCGUUUUCACUUCUGCCCUUCUGAUUCUAUCACCAGUCCCACUGAAGCAUAAAUCUCAACAGUCCUCUUGCACUUAGUAUUUACUAUCCUCCUCACAGAUUCAGUGAGGGCUACAGACCAGAUGUAUUCUGAAGAACAAAGUCCCCAUCCCCCUGUCCUUGUCCCCAUCCUUGAUCUUCAGCUUUUAGGAACAGUGGAGAACAGUGUGGUUUUCUUCUAGACAAUAUGCCUGAAUUUCCUUUCCCUUAAGAUGAAAUAUGGGCAGGCACUCCUGAUCUCCCAGUAUACAUAGAGCCUUAAAAGUCUUAUGACAGUAACAAAAGACAGACUGGUCCCCGGUCUUCUUUAUAUUCAAGCUGUUGCUGGAUCAUUACCCAAACAGAUCACUGUAAAUUCUCUCUGGAUUAACAGAGCUUAAAUGUAAAGAAGAAUUUUGUGUUCCAAUUUCAUACCAGUGGACAGUAUUAUGGUAUAGUGCUUCUUUGCCAUUUUUUUGUCAAGAUUUUUUUGAGGAGAGAUAUUUUUAUAGGUUUUUUUCAGUUUUAAAGAAGGAAUAAGAGGUUGAUGUAAGCUGACAUUGCAGUGUUAAGUAUUUAAAAAUAUUAAUUCACUUCACUUGUAGAGUUCAAAUGAAAGACUUAACAUCCUUACUUAAUGGAAAUAAACAUUUUCCUUCUCUGGGUACAGUAUCUUGUUUUUCUCAUGUGUGGAACUACCCAUUAUACUUCCUUUAAAUGCAGCCAGCCCAGAUGGACAUUAACUAAUGUCCUCCUUGCUCUCACGCUCUCUCUUCUCUCUCCCCCCAGAGAGGUGUUUUCCAGUCAGUGUAGUGGGCAGACUGUCUGGUAUUUGUUUAUUGUCAGGGGCUUUUCUGUGUAAAUAAUUUUUCUUACACCUUUUGUUAUUAAUGUUGUUGCUAUUACUGUUUCAUUUUGCUGUUACUGUUUGUUUGCUAGUCUCAUUGCUGUUUCCAGUAAAUUGCUCCUAUUUCAACCUAUGAUCUUUGCCUUUUGUGCCUCUGACUGGAGAUGGAGGGGAAAGUAAGUGGCAGCAUAGUUUAAAUGUGAACAUUACAUUGGAGAAUACCAUUCUUAAACCAUGACAGUUAAGCUCCUCCUAAAAAUCUUCUUUUUGAGAAACAGUGGACAGUUCUAAGUCCGAGUAUUAACCUAUACUGCUAAAUUCAACCAACCUGCCUCCCUCCCACAAAUAACACAACCAAAAGCAUCCAACAAAAAAAAUCCCAACCUUGCAAAUCUCAAGGAAAUUUUAAUAUUCCAUGCUCCUUUUUAAUAUAUUUUUCAUUAAGAAAAGAAAGAUUUCAAACUCUAAAUCUAUAUUACCAUGAGACUUUAUGGCAGCACAAUCUCAAAAAUAAAUCUGCAGUAAUGCAGACUCCUAAAGAGCAGGGCUUAGGGCCACAAGCAUUGCACAGGAGAAGCUUACAUAAAACACACCUGUGAAAUAAAAUGGCACUGAAAUGUUGCUAUUCUCAGAGUCUUUCAAGGUCAAAAACUAGUAAUUUAUUAUGUUUUUGAGAACCAAAUCUGGUCUAGCUUUAAGACGCUACAUUUGUAACACAGGACACAGUUCUUCACAAAACUGAUUUCUAAAGAACUGGUAUUUUGUUUCAAAGUAGGGGCAAUCUGGCAAUCUAUACUGUGUCUGGUGUAAUAAUGCCAAAUUCCUUUAGUGAAUGAGUGCAAGGAUACACCACAUAGAACACAAAUUACUAAAUAAGGUGUAAAUAUAAAUGCAUACCGUGUAAUCUCACUUGCAGAUUGCUCUUCUUGUUGAAUUUCAGAAGUAUCUCCAUUAUUUAGUGACUCACUGAGAUUAGCGAGAGAUGUUACAACAUUUGCCAGUGUUCCUAAGGCACCCUGGCUUGUUUCAGCCUAAAAAGGAAACACUGUAUUAGUGAAUCAAAAUUAUAGUUACUAUAUCACAUAUAAUUUCCCCCAUUUUCAAUCUUUUUGUUCUUUUUCCCCUGUGCACCUUCUCCUUCUUCCUGAAUGCCAGGAAGAACAAUGGCCGUCAAUUAUCUUUAAAUCCUAUUCUAAUUAUCAAUCCUAGUCCCAGAUGAGACAUCAUAUUGAGAACUACCUGUGGCUGACCUUUUGCAGAAAUAUACUUGCCAAAAGAAACCACAAUCCUAUAGAUCAAUUUAUUACAUCCAUUCAUGUGGUUCUUCACACUUAUCAUAACCUUAUCUUCCAAAGAGCAAUAACUAUGUGAGACUAUGUGCAAUAGAUACAAGUAAUCUGAACAAAUUAAUAGCUAUCUCAGAACUGAAGUGAGCCAGUAAUACCUUGGAAUCAGCAGUUAGGAGGACUGUACCAUCAUCCCUGAUCAAAGGCUGCUGAAUAUUCACGAGCAUUCCCGGAUCAAGAAGACCGGCUGACCUGUUCAAAAGCAUAAGGCAUCUGAUGAUCAAUAGUAUUUUCCAUUAAUCAGAAGAAUGUGUAACAACUUAUGAGAGCAUAAAAGGAAUUACCAGUUUUUAAAUAAACAAUUUAGUGAAGCUUACAGUUUAUUUAACAGGACUUAAGUCUUUCUGAAACAGUUCCCAAAAAGUAGCCUGAAAGACAGAAAGAUCUUAUAAUUUCCAGUGCAAAACAACGACAACUUCCCAAAUGUGUAUCUUCUCAUUUGCUUUUUAUUCUGGUUUAGUCUGCUUUAAGGAAAGCUGUUUUUUUCUCAUGUUCUCGGAAGUCACCUAGUAGCUCUAGUUUUUAUAUUAGACUUUGGAGGAAGGCAUAGCUCUGUAUUCCAAGCAAGACACUGGCCAGCACUGAAUAAAAUGUAAUCAAAGCCUGCAUAAAAUUUCUGCUGCCUUUACUUUUGCUGCUUUUUGACCAAACAUCCUUCCCCUCUCCUGUAUCUAAUUUAGGGAGACAGUGGAAAGUCUUUGCAGUCAGCAAGAAGUUUACUUGCUACUUAGGUGAUGCUCCUAAUGUCCAUAACAUGGUACCAGUGCACACAACACAGGUGCAAGGCUGCAGGACAUUACAGUACAAGGGGUCUGACACUAACAGCUAUCAUCGUGAACAAGCACAGGCAGCAAAUUAUCAUGCAUUAUGCAAAUCUGAAUCCUACAUAAAUAACAGAGUGGUUCUUAAUGAGUACAGUAGUGUUUAUAAGUCUGUAAUGGAUCUGUAGCUCAAGGAAAUUUUUAAGAAGAAAAUGUUUCUGUGAGUACUUCUUUCAAACAAGAACACUGAAAAACAAUUCUCCAAGAAACCUGCAGCCCAAACUUCCUAACUGCAGUGUCAUUUGUUCAAUAAGGAAUAUGUAUAUAAAAAAAUUAAACACACACGCUUCCUCCCAUAUGAAAACUGAAGAAUAAAAUUUUUACGAAGUUCUCAACCAUUCAUAAACUACAGUUUUUAAAAUGUCAUAUUUAACCUAGACUUUUUUUAGUCUAUUCAGAAAAAAAAAGAAAUCUUGCCUUUGUUUGUAAUGAUGUUCAUUUUCACAACCAUUGCCUAAGGAGAUAUCUGAGAAUGCAGGAACUGCAUGGCGGCAGGGUACAGGAACCACCUCUUCCAUAUAGUAAAAGGAAGCUGCUGUUUUGCUGCUGCUGAAACCAGUCUCUUGGGAUGUGAAUCAGCAGCCACUGAGUCUCCCUAACUAUUGCCUUUAGGAGAAGGAAGCCUGAUUGUGCCAUUUGCAGAUCUGAUUUCAGAGAAGUGCUAACUCAAAUGUAUCACAGCAUUAGCCUACAUGCUUUCUGCUUGAAUAUCAUUCACUUGCUCUGCAUUGCUCUGACCUGGACAAGAGCCAGCUCUGAACUGAAAACCACAUACCUGUAUCAAAGCACAGGCAACCCCCAACGAAGGGGAGAGAAAAUGAUGCAUCUGACUCCAUCAUCAGAAGGCUAAAUAAUUACUUUAGUAUGCUAUACUAUAUAUAUUGCAUGGAAACUGAAUCUGCCUUGCACUCACCCUUGCUCACAACUGCACAGAACUGCACUUAUCCCUUGACCUUCUCAUGACUGUCUCGUGACAGUCCAACACACACACUCUUCUUGGCCCUGAUAGGCCGAGGGAACAAAACAUCCUCACUCUGGAUAAACAAUCUCCAUUUUGCAUUCCACCUUAGCACAACACAGGCACAGCAAGAGAGAUAAGAAUUAUGUUUUCCUUCUUCUCUGCUUGUCUCACAGCUUCUCUCUGUUCAGAGGGCAUGUGAAUACCACAUACCUGUAUGCAGACAUAAAAACUUUCAUGAGAAGCAGAACCUACAUUGGCCUUAGUAAUGGAAACAGAUGAUGUGUGCAUUAGAGUUCUUUUCUGUUCCCUCUGAGAGCAGGGGGGAGAAAGAAUAUAGAUGUGACUGCAAAGUAAUAUGCACAAAUAAUGUGAAAGAAGAUGCAUGGAAUUGAGGUACUCACCGUGUCCCAUCUUUAUCUGCCACAAAUGUUGGAGUUGCUAUUAGAGGGCUUCGAAGAUCUUUUCUUAUAUAGAUUUUUUCAGUAGAAGCUGCACAGUUGGUUGGUUUUUCACGUUGCACAUCAAAAGGCUUUCUUUCACUUUGAACCGCUACAUAAAGAUAGAAACAUACAGAUUUUAAAGGAAAUAAUUCAAAUGAAAAAUACAACAAGUAAAUAAAAUUCCUGCACUUAUGAUAGUGCACCAGCUCAGUUCAAAACUGGAAAUUUAAUACCAAGAGUGAAGAAACACAGGCUGCAAUGUUACUAUAUCUGGGUUUUGAUGAGAGAGUGGAGAGAAGAGAGGAAGGCUCAGGCUAUAUCUGAAUGUGCAGUUGAUGAAGGUGUAGUUCCCACUCUGAGCUUCCUUACCUGAUGCUUUAUCACCACAGACUACACAAUAUUCUACUACCUGGGGCCGCUGAACAUCAGUUUUUCCUAGUAGGCGUUCCACUGAAGCAGAGUCUGUCACUAUCUAAAGCAAAAUUCCAGAACAAAAAGAUGUAAUUAGCCAGAUAUAAAGGUGCGUUGUAUCUCUGUAUAUCAGUGAAUCUUACACUGAGAAAUCCUGGCACUUCUCACAAGCACUGUCUUAAGGAUUUCCUUAUGUCUUUGUAACCUGAAUGAGAACACACAACGAGGGUCAAUGAGUGCAAUGGAAUACAUGAGGUCACAAAAGUUGCACACUAAAUGAGGAAGACAGGAGAGAUGUAGAAAUAAGAGGCAUCUUCUAAUUAUUGGAUGAUUCAAAGUUUUCAGCUGCAGAAAACAAGAUACUUAGAUAAAAAAUAUGACAUUCCAAAAGUCUCUCAGUGCCAAGUUUGAGUCUACAUUUUCUCUAAGAUAUGUCUAUUAUUCAAGCUGUACAGAAGAGAUGUUAAUUUCAUAAAUGAGAAAGGUCUACUUUCAAAGUCAAGUAUUAAUGCAGCUUGUGGAAUUCAUUGAUCUCAAAGGCACUUUCCUCAGCUCAGGUAGGAGAAACCCUGCCAUUAAACUGCUUCCACACUACAUGCUAAACCAGGGAGCAGCAAGCUAAGAAUGCAGUUUGGCAUAAAUUUUCAUUGAGUCGUUCUGUCAAACCACCAUGUUCAUCCAUAUUCUUAAGAAUAACCUUACCCUAUAAGGGAAAUAAACAGUUACAUCUAAAAUGUACCUUCCAUUAUUUAAACUAAUUUUUUUUAUUAUAAUGUGAUACUAUUAUCACAAUGAGAAGAAAAUACUGCAGAAUCAUUUCAUCCUAUUCCAAGUAACUCCAACCUUAGGGGUUAAAAAAAAUACAAAGAAAUCAAAGACGAAGAAACGAUAAAAAACACUUCCAAUGUAUUUUUCAUUAUCAUUAUUAGGGGUGUAUUUCUUCCAAGGUAAAUUUAAUUAAGAUUUCCAAUUAAUGCAUUCAUUUUUUAAUUGUGACUUGCUAAUUAUAGGGCUAGUCUUUAGAUUCUGAUUUGUUGUUGUAGGUAAUAAAAAAAGCAUUCCUGAAUGCUGGCUUGUUCAAUGUUUCACUGGAAACCUCUGCUUAAAAUUGCAAAGCCAUUUGCAAUUAAUUAAUUUAAUAUAAAAUUUAAAAAUACAGCAAACAAUAGCAACACAGGUAACAGAAAAAUGUAUGCAUGUCUCUAUGACCCAUUCAAAUGUAACUUCUACAAAGCUAACAUUGUUAAAUAUGUCAAAAUUCAUUAAAUUAAAUGGAUUCACUUAUAUUGUGACAUAUGUGAAAGUAAUUUCUUAUAUGUCAAGUAAAGAUUAUUUGUAACAAUGCAUAAUCAAACUUGAGACGUCCCCAUGGAAAUUGUAUUUAUGCUAGGUUCUCCUGCAGUUUGUCAUUAUUUUAUUGAAGUAUUGCACUUGAUUAUGACUAUGAACCAUUUCCACCAAAUUCAGCUUAUGGAUGGUUUCUCAGUUGUUCAAUGAUUCCUUUUCAGUGUUUCCCCCUUUUUUUUUUUAAUAUUCAGAAGAAGCACAAGAAGCAUAAUCAUAUGCUCAUAAUAUGCUGUUUUCUCAGUGCUUCAUGAUGACAGAAGCCCUUCCAAUUAGAUAUCUUGUUCAUAACAGUACCUUUCUGAAAC